rnacentral:rRNA from 1 species
CAGCCGCCACGGGAAUACGUAGGUGGCAAGCGUUGUCCGGAAUUAUUGGGCGUAAAGGGCUCGCAGGCGGUUUCUUAAGUCUGAUGUGAAAGCCCCCGGCUCAACCGGGGAGGGUCAUUGGAAACUGGGAAACUUGAGUGCAGAAGAGGAGAGUGGAAUUCCACGUGUAGCGGUGAAAUGCGUAGAGAUGUGGAGGAACACCAGUGGCGAAGGCGACUCUCUGGUCUGUAACUGACGCUGAGGAGCGAAAGCGUGGGGAGCGAACAGGAUUAGAUACCCGGGUAGUCCCUGUCUCUUAUAC